CAGAGUAGAGGCUGACGCGUUACAGUGUCCUGCGGACGGGGAGUUGCCGCGGGAACGAAGGAUGUUUUGUUCUGUCCGCGAUGUCUGCCUCGCAUCCCGCUGU
rnacentral:ncRNA from 1 species